GUUACUCCUGUCUUUAUAUACCUGGGUUCUCCUUGGGUGUUUUGUCAGUUCGUUUGUGCUUCCAAGCUUCAUGCCAUUCUUGUGCUUUCCUGUGUUCUCAGUUUUGGGAUUAUUUCUUUGUUUGGAUUUUAUCCCCUGGACUCCCAGCCAGCUUUUGUUUGUGCCUGUUCUGUUCUGACCUUGUUGUAUGAGCCUUCUACAGUGCAUUACCACCACCAGUGACAGCAGCGGCUGAGCCGACCUGCAGCUAUAGCAUCGGCAACUUAUUAUUCAUGCAAGAGGGUGAAGCCCGAGUGACAAGACAUAUCUUCCCUGCUGGGGUUACCUCGACUGAGAAACUGAAUCCUUGCCAACUCACCUGGUGCUGUUCCGUGGCUGAAUUUGACUUCUGGCCUCCAUGUGAAAGUCAGUACAUUUCUAAGGGGAGGGGUAAUUAUUGUCAAUUAAGGUAUGGAUUGUAGAAAUCAAACAAAUAAACAGGAUAAACAAGUCAGCUUCUGCAGAUACACCGAAGACACUGCAGUCUAACAGAAUCACAUUGAAACAGAUCUGCUGUGACAUGCAACUGAAUAUGUAAAUGACAAAUUUUCGACACUCACAUCAGCUUAGCUGAGUUAAAUAUCUGGUCCCAAAGCAGGAACAAUGCUUCCAGCAGGCCACACACACCAGAAAUGUGAGUCUGUUUUCUUGUUUUUUACUGAUACUUUCUGCUAAUGCACUGUAUCCUUUUGACUUUUCCCACAUGUUUCUGGGACUUUCUCUGAAGAAAUGCAACAGUGAUUAAUUAUAAUAUCUGUUGGUUUCUUCAUGUAGAGUACAUCAAACCUGGUCAUUGUUCUGGGUUUUGGUAUUUUAAGAAGUGCAUUUGGUUCAAUAGUAGUAGCUCAAAUCAUUUUCUAAGGAACACUGUGAGUCAGUUCAUAUUAGGGUUUCUUAUGUGUAUGGGAAUGAAGCCACAGGUUUGCCUUUUCACUGACAUGACAGGAGGUUUCACUAGCUUUUAGUGGGCCAAAAGGCAUUUUAUUGCUAUCUUUAUGUACUGUAAUAGACAAAAAGUUCUGCCACAAAACACAAGACCUAGACAGACUCAGAAGUGUUUCUUUUUUUGUUAAAAGAUGCCACAAGACAUUUUGGAGAAACGUCUCCUGUAUAAUGGAGGCAAGACACCACCAGCACUCCAGUGUUGGCGGUUUGUUGUGAGUCAGCCAGUAAUCACUGAAACAGAUUGCACUUUACUUUCACAACUCAAAGAGACUGAGAGAACGAGAGAAAAACUGGAGCUGCCGUCUUUUAGUCUCAGAGACAUUGUUCUUCUGAGCUUGGCUCUAGCAGGAAAACAACUGUGUGAACAACAAUAACGUGGUGUAUCUCCAUAUUCAGCUCUGCAGAAAACAAAAGUAAACAGUUUCAGAGAGACUGUCAACAUAACACUUCUCCACAAUUGGAAGUAAAUGUGCAUUGACUUAAAAAGCAGCCUGAACCAUACCUCAACUUUCAAUAUUUAAUGAAAGUGCAAUAAAUAUGAAAGUUCGGGCUUUCAAAACUCCUUAUCAGACUUUUAAAUUUGCAUUGUGAAGGUAUACCCCCUAGAUAAUAAUGUUGAACUGCUGCUUAGCAACAUUUCCAUGCACAGAAUUAAUAACAAAUGCGAUUGCAAGGUUUGAAGAAUUUCUCACCGAUAGAGUCAGAAUUAUGUUAACCUCCUAUAGCAGAUUUUUGUGGCCACACUUCCAAACACACCAUUGACAUCGUCAUCUUUUAAGUUAUGGAGCUGAGGCUGGGGCUGUAAAUAGUUCUCUAAUUUUUAACAACUUGAUCAGCUUGAUCAAAAAAACAAAAACAAAAAAACAAACAAACAAAAAAAACCAUAUCAGUUUCAGGGUUAAAUUAACAACUUCAAGCCCUACCUAAAUCCUGAUUAAGCACCACUCAUGUCCUGCCAAGCCCCAGCCAAGUACAGAUACAGA